CCUACGGGUGGCAGCAGUGAGGAAUAUUGGUCAAUGGGCGUAAGCCUGAACCAGCCAAGCCGCGUGAGGGAUGAAGGUUCUAUGGAUCGUAAACCUCUUUUGUAAGGGAAUAAAGUGUGGGACGUGUCCUAUUUUGUAUGUACCUUAUGAAUAAGGAUCGGCUAACUCCGUGCCAGCAGCCGCGGUAAUACGGAGGAUCCGAGCGUUAUCCGGAUUUAUUGGGUUUAAAGGGUGCGUAGGCGGACUUUUAAGUCAGCGGUGAAAUUCUGUGGCUCAACCAGGGAAUUGCCGUUGAAACUGGGGGGCUUGAGUAUGUUUGAGGUAGGCGGAAUGCGUGGUGUAGCGGUGAAAUGCUUAGAUAUCACGCAGAACCCCGAUUGCGAAGGCAGCUUGCCAAGCCAUGACUGACGCUGAGGCACGAAAGCGUGGGGAGCAAACAGGAUUAGAUACCCGAGUAGUC
rnacentral:rRNA from 1 species